AACGAACGCUGGCGGCAUGCCUAACACAUGCAAGUCGAACGAGACCUUCGGGUCUAGUGGCGCACGGGUGCGUAACGCGUGGGAACCUGCCCUUAGGUUCGGAAUAACUCCCCGAAAGGGGUGCUAAUACCGGAUAAUGUCUUCGGACCAAAGAUUUAUCGCCUUUGGAUGGGCCCGCGUUGGAUUAGCUAGUUGGUAGGGUAAAAGCCUACCAAGGCGACGAUCCAUAGCUGGUCUGGGAGGAUGAUCAGCCACACUGGGACUGAGACACGGCCCAGACUCCUACGAGAGGCAGCAGUGGGGAAUAUUGGACAAUGGGCGAAAGCCUGAUCCAGCAAUGCCGCGUGAGUGAUGAAGGCCUUAGGGUUGUAAAGCUCUUUUACCCGGGAUGAUAAUGACAGUACCGGGAGAAUAAGCUCAGGCUAACUCCGUG
rnacentral:rRNA from 1 species